rnacentral:rRNA from 1 species
AGUGGCGGACGGGUGAGUAACGCGUGGGUAACCUGCCUUAUACAGGGGGAUAACAGUUGGAAACGACUGCUAAUACCGCAUAAGCGCACAGUGCCGCAUGGCACAGUGUGAAAAACUCCGGUGGUAUAAGAUGGACCCGCGUCUGAUUAGCUAGUUGGUGAGGUAACGGCUCACCAAGGCGACGAUCAGUAGCCGGCUUGAGAGAGUGAUCGGCCACAUUGGGACUGAGACACGGCCCAAAUUCCUACGGGAGGCAGCAGUGGGGAAUAUUGCACAAUGGGGGAAACCCUGAUGCAGCAACGCCGCGUGAGUGAAGAAGUAUUUCGGUAUGUAAAGCUCUAUCAGCAGGGAAGAUAAUGACGGUACCUGACUAAGAAGCCCCGGCUAACUACGUGCCAGCAGCCGCGGUAAUACGUAGGGGGCAAGCGUUAUCCGGAUUUACUGGGUGUAAAGGGAGCGUAGGCGGCUUGGCAAGUCUGAUGUGAAAGCCCAGGGCUCAACCCUGGGACUGCAUUGGAAACUGUCAGGCUAGAGUGCAGGAGAGGUAAGUGGAAUUCCUAGUGUAGCGGUGAAAUGCGUAGAUAUUAGGAGGAACACCAGUGGCGAAGGCGGCUUACUGGACUGUAACUGACGCUGAGGCUCGAAAGCGUGGGGAGCAAACAGGAUUAGAUACCCUGGUAGUCCACGCUGUAAACGAUGAAUACUAGGUGU